rnacentral:lncRNA from 1 species
CUUUUUCCAUGGAAUUCCAUGGAAAUAUUUCCAUCAUUUCCUUUUAAAAUGAAUUGCUCAAAUUAACCUUUUGACAAUAUACCCUGUUUAACAAUAUCUGUAAUAAUGAAGAUAAAAAAAAAUAGGUGCCAUGCUUUUUUCGGUUUGGUAAGGUCUUUUGAGUCUUACAAUGGUCAGUAAUAAGCAAUAGACUCAAACAUCAUUUUAACCUUUAAUUCAAACUCAUUUAAUGUAUUAUAAUAAAUACAACAAACAAGAAAAACUUUCAAUACUGGUAUAUGUUUGCACUGCCUUUAUAUCAAGAAAUUAAGGUUAUAAAUGUCACUUAUGUCAGCACCAGGCUUCAGUAGAUCCAUCUUGUAGAACAGCAUUAACCAUUUUAUUGGAGUUUCAUUUCUUCCUCAUGAUACCUAAAAAUAAUUUUACUGUUAUAAAUAAAGAGAUAUUCUUUAAAUAAUGACAUUAUUAAUAAUGGUUAACAACUUUAGUCUUUGUCCUAAAUAUUUUUUUCCAUAAUUAUUGUAUAUAAAUGUCUUCAUUGGUAUUUUCCAUAUAUUUAGAACUUAGUGUUGAUCUGCAGUUUGCUGUAAAGAUACACUUUUUUUUUACUUUUAUGGAUCUAUUUCUCAUUGGCAACCAAUUUCAACGGAUCUUAAAUUUUAUAACCAAAUUACUUCAUUAGUGGAUUAUUAGUUAUUAUAAUACACCAUAUACAGUUUGUCUUGUCUUAAUACCCAAUCAUUAUAAUUAUAAGUGAAAAAUCUACUAUAGGUGUUUUCAUGAUGUGUUUAUGUUGAACUAAAGGAGCUUGCACACACUUCAAAAUGGUAGAAUCUAAUUCAGUGUACUUACCAAAAAAUAUGCUCUAAAUCCAACAGUCAAUGCAAGUCAUCAGAGAAUAAAUCUGCACUAUUCGAUGUCAAGAACUAUUUGGAACUAUUUAAUCUAAGUCCAAUAUAAAUUUUGCAUUUUGUUCAGGAGAGAAGACAUCUUUAUUUGUUGCCUGCAUAUCCAUUGCAAGUUCAAAUUUUCAAUGUGUUGGGGGAUGUAUGAGGAGUUAUCUGAUUUCUUUUAAAAGAGUAAAAAAAAGAGUCACAAUUGAAUACUGUUAUUUACCAAAAUCUUGGAUAUUUUAUAUAUAUUUUAAUAAAAGAUUGUCCAUUUAUUGUUUAUUUACCAUUUUUAUGUUUUAAGUAAUAAUAAUUGCACAAAAAUGUAUAAAUCCAUGUUCUACCCUACAUUUGGCCUCACACUGUAUGGUCAUAUCAUUUCCUGUCUUCUACACAAAGACCAAUGAAAACCAGAUGGCACUUUACAUUUCUUUCACUGUCUAAUUGAUGAUAAAGAAUUAAUGUAUGUAAUUUGUGUACAUUUUUUCCAUGACUUUCCAUCUCAAAAAUAUUCUAAGUUAAGAUUCUAUAAUUUUUCCAUGUUAAAAAUAUUCUAAGUCAAGAUUCCAUCCUCUUUUCCAUCUCAAAAAUAUUCUAAGUCCACUUUCCAUCCUCUUUUCCAUCUACAAAGUUUUAUUAGUCUACUUUCCAUCCCAUUUUCCAUCCAAAAAGUAUUUUUUCCAUGGAAUUCCAUGGAAAGUUUUCCAUCUUAUCAUGGAAAAUGAUGGAAUAAGUAACACAUAUAAGUUUUCCAUCUGACAUGAAUUAUUUUUCCAUGAAAUUCCAUGGAAACUCAUGGAAAAAAACAAAAUUUCCAUCAUUUUCCAUCAUUUUAUCAUGGAAAAAGUUGAACUGCAUGGAAAAUCUAGGGAUGGGA